rnacentral:rRNA from 1 species
GAUGAACGCUGGCGGCGUGCCUAAUACAUGCAAGUCGAGCGAACAGACGAGGAGCUUGCUCCUCUGACGUUAGCGGCGGACGGGUGAGUAACACGUGGAUAACCUACCUAUAAGACUGGGAUAACUUCGGGAAACCGGAGCUAAUACCGGAUAAUAUAUUGAACCGCAUGGUUCAAUAGUGAAAGACGGUUUUGCUGUCACUUAUAGAUGGAUCCGCGGCGCAUUAGCUAGUUGGUAAGGUAACGGCUUACCAAGGCGACGAUGCGUAGCCGACCUGAGAGGGUGAUCGGACACACUGGAACUGAGACACGGUCCAGACUCCUACGGGAGGCAGCAGUAGGGAAUCUUCCGCAAGGGGCGAAAGCCUGACGGAGCAACGCCGCGUGAGUGAUGAAGGUCUUCGGAUCGUAAAACUCUGUUAUUAGGGAAGAACAAAUGUGUAAGUAACUAUGCACGUCUUGACGGUACCUAAUCAGAAAGCCACGGCUAACUACGUG